GCUGGGAUGGCUGAGUGGACAAUAGCAUCAGACUGUAAAUCUGACGUCCUAACGGACUACCUAGGUUCGAAUCCUAGUCCCAGCA
rfam:Candidatus Woesebacteria bacterium RIFCSPHIGHO2_12_FTLL_42_9 rifcsphigho2_12_scaffold_20891, whole genome shotgun sequence.